AUUGAACGCUGGCGGCAUGCCUUACACAUGCAAGUCGAACGGCAGCACGGGGCAACCUGGUGGCGAGUGGCGAACGGGUGAGUAAUGCAUCGGAACGUACCUUUCAGUGGGGGAUAACGUAGCAAAAGUUACGCUAAUACCGCAUAUUCUGUGAGCAGGAAAGCAGAGGAUCGCAAGACCUUGCGCUGAUUGAGCGGCCGAUGUCAGAUUAGCUAGUUGGUGAGGUAAAGGCUCACCAAGGCGACGAUCUGUAGCGGGUCUGAGAGGAUGAUCCGCCACACUGGAACUGAGACACGGUCCAGACUCCUACGGGAGGCAGCAGGGGGGAAUUUUGGACAAUGGGGGCAACCCUGAUCCAGCCAUGCCGCGUGAGUGAAGAAGGCCUUCGGGUUGUAAAGCUCUUUCGGCCGGGAAGAAAUCGCACGGGCUAAUACCCUGUGUGGAUGACGGUACCGGAAUAAGAAGCACCGGCUAACUACGUGCCAGCAGCCGCCGUAAUAC
rnacentral:rRNA from 1 species